ACACGAAGAGUAUAUUGAAGUGACAAGGGCAAAAUUGGUAAGUGUUUAAAAAAUGAGCUAAAAAUGAUAGACUUUAAAAAAGAAGAUAAAAAUAAAAGAGAACAAUAUAAAAAUAGGGUAUGGUGAAAAAUACCACUUUUAUUAAUCAAUUAAUCAAAUUUACCUCUAAUUUUAUAUUUUAUUGAAACAUACCUCUUUUUAUAUGUAUUGUACCCAAAAUACCCUGACAUAAGAGAGUCACAUGGAGAGUAUCUUGAAGUGACAGGGGCAAAAUUGGUACAAUGUUAAAAAAAAGUAAAAAUGAUAGACUUUUAAAAAGAGGGUAAAAAUAAAAGAAGACAAUAUAAAAAGGGUAUAGGAUAUAAUUUCCUCAAAAAAUAAUUUUGAGAAAAGUCUAAAAAAUGGUAAAACUGAAGUAAGCCCAAAAUUUAGGCCCAGUUGUUUUUCAAGCCCAGCCCACUAAAUUUUCAGUAUGAAGAUGAAGAAGACUCUACUGAGCUUCAAAGUUAUGUCUACGGCCACCACCAUUUGGGUUCCUCUGACAGCCGUAUUUGGAUCCCAGAGAGACCGGUUUCCUUCAUUUUGUCAAGUACCAUAGUCUCGGCAAGGAUUUCAUCCUGGUAAAUUUGAAAAUGGAGCUAAGUUUGUUCAUCUCUCUUUUCGAUUUUUCAUCUAAAGGGAUUUUUGUGGGUUGAUAAUAGGAAAUUGAGAAUUAUGAUGGAGAUUUCGUGUCUUGUUUUGAUACUAUUUCACUAUUAUUAUGCUUAAUUGAUUCUGUACUGUUUGAAAGAUGAAAAGUUUGUUUAUAAUUUCAUAUUUUAGAUGUGUGGUAAUGGAGUACGAUGCUUUGCCCGAUUUAUUGCCGAGCUUGAGAAUGCAUCGGUAACAUAUUUACAUACUUUAUAUUUAUAUGUAUAUGUAUAUAUAUAUAUUUAUAUUGUUGGUUUGAAUCAGCUUGACGACAUUGAUACAGACAAGAGAGACUUAUCUACAAUUUUACAUGGUAACAUGGGAUGCAUCGAGAAUUGUGUAAUUCUAGAUAUCUAUUGCAUAUUUCAUCACAGGAAUAUGUCAUGAUUGUUGCGUCUUUCUCUAUUCUGAGUUCUGGCGUUGGGUCAUGGCCAUUAUCUUUGGCCCUCUUCAUCAGUUUUGUAUUGGGUACUGCUUAUUCAAUCAAUGUGAGGUUAUGUAAUCUCACAUAACCUUUCAUAGACAAUGCCUAAUAAUCAGCCGUUAUUUUGAAAAAUAUGACUUGGUUAUUUCUCAAACUAUGACAAAAGUUUAAGGUGGAAACUUGACAAAUUUGAUUCUCACUUGGUACUUGGUAGCUUUAACACCUUUCAUGUCAGGUGUCCCUUUUGAGAUGGAAGAGAUUUGCUUUAGUUGCAUUGCAGCAAUGUGCAUUCUUGCUGUUCGAGCAGUGAUUGUUCAACUAGUUUUUUUCUUCUUCACAUUCAGGCUAUGUUAUAAAUUAUGUCUGAUUUAUCUUGUUGCGAGCCAAGUUGAACUUUAGAUGUCUAUUUCUACGCAUACUCUGCACCAUCCUAACAUUCUUAUUUCUUAUGCCCAAAGCUGAUUGUCUUCUUAUUUAAUCAAAUUUUAAUAUGAUGAAUUUUCAUAGAUAUGGGAAUCGAGGGUAUAAUUUACAUUUUCAUAGCAUAAAUAAAUAAUGCAAAAAAAUAUGAGAUUAAAAAAUAACUAAAGGUUUGCACUUAAGGUAAGGGUAUUAGGUAGAAACAUAAGGUUUUUGUUUACUUGUGAAUUGUUUGUGUUUUCUGACGUUCAGGUACAAUGGAAAGUAAUGGGUCGAAUUUCCAAAAGCCAAAGAUCCGUUGAUCUGUUCGUUGAUUAGUUGUAGUUUGCCAGAACCUAGAAUAUUGAUAAUUGAAUUACUUGGGCAUUUAUAACAGUGAUUAAGAGCUGCUCUAAAUUAUAUAUAAAUUCAUCACAGAACUCUGCUAUAAAUUGUGUAGCGAGAUGUAUUGCCCACUCAUUUAUUACAGAAUAAUUGAUUUGCUUGAUUGUGAUAUCAUACGAUAUAAUAUGAUUGUCUUAGAAUUGUUAAGGCCAUUAUUGAUAAUAUUGAAUAUAUAUGGCUUAUUACUGCUUGAUAGUUGAUUGAUUGUUUGUUUGCUUUAUGUGAUUACCUGCAUAUUUCUUUUACUGGGUUUAAAAGCUUAAUCCCCUUAUUUUCCCGUCGCAGAAAAAAGUAAUUGAAGUUAAUGGACCUCAAAGGCAGUGUAUGUGCUCGUUGGGGAUUAUAUGACAAGUCAUCCUAGAAAUUUGCUCCACUUAUAUUUUUAUAUUUAAUUAAUUAAUGUUGUUGCUACACUAUUUUAUAUUAUAUAUUAGAUAUUUAUUUAUAUUUUAAACUA